ensembl:snRNA U2 U2 spliceosomal RNA
AUCACUUCUUGGCCUUUUGGCUAAGAUCAAGUGUGUAGAUAGGUAUAAUUGUUUUAUUGUUGUUUCAUUGAUAUUUGAUUGUUUUAUCGGGCUAGGCCCCAUGUAAGCCGCCCCAAGUCCCUUCGGGGAGAUGGGGCGGGGUAUA